rnacentral:rRNA from 1 species
AUGCUUACGUUUCUGGUAAGCGUCGAUUCGGGCUUUCAGGGCAUUGAUGAAGCGGGAUAUCACAGCUGCGUCCGUUGCUGCCGGUACAUC